GACGAACGCUGGCGGCGCGCUUAACACAUGCAAGUCGAACGGAAAGGCCUGCUUUCCCUUGUGGAUUGCGGGUACUCGCGUGGCGAACGGGUGAGUAACACGUGAGUGAUCUGCCCCCAACUUGGGUAUAAGCCUGGGAAACUGGGUCUAAUUCCCGAUAGGACUGCAGGGUGGUGCCUGUGGUGGAAAACGAUUUUCUAGUGGUUGGGGAUGAGCUCGCGGCCUAUCAGCUUGUUGGUGGGGUAAUGGCCUACCAAGGCGGCGACGGGUAGCCGGCCUGAGAGGGUGGACGGCCACAUUGGGACUGAGAUACGGCCCAGACUCCUACGGGAGGCAGCAGUGGGGAAUAUAGCACAAUGGGCGGAAGCCUGAUGCAGCGACGCCGCGUGGGGGAUGACGGCCUUCGGGUUGUAAACUCCUUUCGACCGCGAGGAAGCCACCUGGUUGGAAGGGUGGUGACGGUAGUGGUAGAAGAAGCACCGGCUAACUACGUG
rnacentral:rRNA from 1 species